GAUGAACGCUAGCGGCAGGCCUAAUACAUGCAAGUCGAACGGUGUCUUCGGACAUAGUGGCGCACGGGUGCGUAACACGUAUGCAACCUACCUUACAUUGGGGGAUAGCCUUUCGAAAGGGAGAUUAAUACCGCAUAAGACAGUAGCUGGGCAUCCCGCAGCUGUUAAAGAUUUAUCGAUGUAAGCUGGGCAUGCGUCCAAUUAGCUAGUUGGUGAGGUAACGGCUAACCAAGGCAAUGAUUGGUAGGGGAACUGAGAGGUCAAUCCCCCACACUGGCACUGAGAUCAGGGCCAGACUCCUACGGGAGGCAGCAGUAGGGAAUAUUGGGCAAUGGACGCAAGUCUGACCCAGCCAUGCCGCGUGCAGGAUGAAGGCGUUAUGCGUUGUAAACUGCUUUUAUACAGGAAGAAACGACUCUUGCGAGAGGCAUUGACGGUACUGUAUGAAUAAGCACCGGUUAACUCCGUGCCAGCAGCCGCAGUAAUAC
rnacentral:rRNA from 1 species